GCCGGGAUGGCGAAACUGGCAGACGCGCGAGACUUAAAAUCUUGUGUCCGCAAGGACAUCCGGGUUCGAGCCCCGGUCCCGGCA
rnacentral:tRNA from 1 species